GAUGAACGCUGGCGGCGUGCCUAAUACAUGCAAGUCGAGCGAACAGGCGCGGAGCUUGCUCCUCGGACGUUAGCGGCGGACGGGUGAGUAGCACGUGGAUAACCUACCUAUAAGACUGGGAUAACUUCGGGAAACCGGAGCUACUACCGGAUAAUAUAUUGAACCGCAUGGUUCAAUAGUGAAAGACGGUUUUGCUGUCACUUAUAGAUGGAUCCGCGCCGCAUUAGCUAGUUGGUAAGGUAACGGCUUACCAAGGCAACGAUGCGUAGCCGACCUGAGAGGGUGAUGGGCGACCCUGGAACGGAGAAACGGCCCAGACUCCUACGGGAGGCAGCAGUAGGGAAUCUUCCGCCAUGGGCGAAAGCAGGCCGGAGCAACGCCGCGGCAGGGAUGAAGGUCUUCGGAUCGUAAAACUCUGUUAUUAGGGAAGAACAAAGGUGUAAGUAACUAUGCACGUCUUGACGGUACCUAAUCAGAAAGCCACGGCUAACUACGUG
rnacentral:rRNA from 1 species